ensembl:lncRNA
UGGAGGUGGCAGUAUUAACAGUGGUUGGAUGGGGAGGUAUUAGCAGUGGUUGGAGGUGGCAGUAUUGGCUGUGGUUGGAGGUGGCAGUAUUAGCUGUGGUUGGAGGUGGCAGUAUUGGCUGUGGUUGGAGGUGGCAGUAUUAGCUGUGGUUGGAGGUGGCAGUAUUAGCUGUGGGUGGAGGUGGCAGUAUUAACAGUGGUUGGAUGGGGAGGUAUUAGCAGUGGUUGGAGGUGGCAGUAUUGGCUGUGGUUGGAGG